UGGGGAAUUUUGGACAAUGGGCGAAAGCCUGAUCCAGCAAUGCCGCGUGUGUGAAGAAGGCCUUCGGGUUGUAAAGCACUUUUGUCCGGAAAGAAAUCCUUGGCUCUAAUACAGUCGGGGGAUGACGGUACCGGAAGAAUAAGCACCGGCUAACUACGUGCCAGCAGCCGCGGUAAUACGUAGGGUGCAAGCGUUAAUCGGAAUUACUGGGCGUAAAGCGUGCGCAGGCGGUUUGCUAAGACCGAUGUGAAAUCCCCGGGCUCAACCUGGGAACUGCAUGCUGGAUACUGGCAGGCUAGAGUAUGGCAGAGGGGGGUUAGAAUUCCACGUGUAGCAGUGAAAUGCGUAGAGAUGUGGAGGAAUACCGAUGGCGAAGGCAGCCCCCUGGGCCAAUACUGACGCUCAUGCACGAAAGCGUGGGGAGCAAACAGGAUUAGAUACCCUGGUAGUCCACGCCCUAAACGAUGUCAACUAGUUGUUGGGGAUUCAUUUCCUUAGUAACGUAGCUAACGCGUGAAGUUGACCGCCUGGGGAGUACGGUCGCAAGAUUAAAAC
rnacentral:rRNA from 1 species